rnacentral:rRNA from 1 species
UACGUAGGGUGCGAGCGUUAAUCGGAAUUACUGGGCGUAAAGCGUGCGCAGGCGGUUCGUUAAGUCAGAUGUGAAAGCCCCGGGCUCAACCUGGGAACUGCAUUUGAAACUGGCGGGCUUGAGUGUGGCAGAGGGGGGUGGAAUUCCGCGUGUAGCAGUGAAAUGCGUAGAGAUGCGGAGGGACACCGAUGGCGAAGGCAGCCUCCUGGGAUAACACUGACGCUCAUGCACGAAAGCGUGGGGAGCAAACAGG